rnacentral:rRNA from 1 species
AUUGAACGCUGGCGGCAGGCCUAACACAUGCAAGUCGAGCGAGCGGCGGACGGGUGAGUAAUGUCUGUGUAACUGCCUGUUGGAGGGGGCUAACUACUGGAAACGGUAGCUCAUACCGCAUACCAUCAGAUGUGGCCAGAUGGGGUUAGCUAGUAGGUGGGGUAACGGCUCACCUAGGCGACGGUCCCUAGCUGGUCUGAGAGGAUGAUCAGACACACUGGAACUGAGACACGGUCCAGACUCCUACGGGAGGCAGCAGUGGGGAAUAUUGCACAAUGGGCGCAAGCCUGAUGCAGCCAUGCCGCGUGUGUGAAGAAGGCCUUCGGGUUGUAAAGCACUUUCAGCGGGGAGGCGUUACCCGCAGAAGAAGCACCGGCUAACUCCGUGCCAGCAGCCGCGGUAAUAC